rnacentral:sRNA from 1 species
CACACCUCGUGCCGAGUAGCGCUGGUCCUCUCGGUCG